UGAUGGCUCGACCGUCUGUGUAGUGGCCACACUGUUGUUUAUUCGUGAAAUUCGUUUAUAUAAAGUGUUUAAAAUAUGGAAAUUGAACAAAGUGCAUCUAUUACUGAAAAAAGUGACAAAAAAAUAGCGAAAGAAAAUGAAGAAAGAAAAGAAAAAAAAAGGAACGAAAUCGAGAAUACCAAAGGGCAUGGCGUCAGCGUAAAAAUGAUUUAAAGAAAAAAGAUUCGAAGGAAGAGAAAAAAGAAGAAAAAAGAAAAAGACAUCGUGAGAAUCAAAGGGCAUAUUAUCAACGUACAAAAGGUUUAAAGGAUAAUGACAAAAAUGUAGAAGAAUUGUUCCAAAAGAAAUUAGAUGAUUUGCAAAUGAAAAAAAAGAAAUUGGACAGUAAUGAAAACCAAGAGAAUGUUGUGCAAUGCAGGGCUUCUCAAAAUUUAGAAAAUGUACAGCUCGAACAAAAUCAAUUCCUCACCCAACAACUUCGUAUAUAUGAAGAGAGUCACGAAUGCAUUACCCCCAAAGUCAUUCUACACAGAACUACAGAUAUUCCAGGUGAUGGUAAUUGUCUUUUCCACUCACUUAUACGUGUUGAAAUUAUGGAUGAAAGUUAAUCUUUUUGAGAGAUAAACUUUUUAAUGUAAUAUAAAUUGUCAUGUUUGUGUACGAUAGCGCAAUAAAUAAAUAUUGUAUUCUACCAUA